UACGGAGGGUGCGAGCGUUGUCCGGAAUUAUUGGGCGUAAAGAGCUCGUAGGCGGCUUGUCACGUCGGGUGUGAAAGCCCGGGGCUUAACCCCGGGUCUGCAUUCGAUACGGGCUAGCUAGAGUGUGGUAGGGGAGAUCGGAAUUCCUGGUGUAGCGGUGAAAUGCGCAGAUAUCAGGAGGAACACCGGUGGCGAAGGCGGAUCUCUGGGCCAUUACUGACGCUGAGGAGCGAAAGCGUGGGGAGCGAACAGG
rnacentral:rRNA from 1 species